rnacentral:rRNA from 1 species
AUACGUAGGGGGCGAGCGUUGUCCGGAAUGAUUGGGCGUAAAGGGCGCGUAGGCGGCCCGGUAAGUCUGGAGUGAAAGUCCUGUUUUUAAGAUGGGAAUUGCUUUGGAUACUGUCGGGCUUGAGUGCAGGAGAGGUAAGUGGAAUUCCCAGUGUAGCGGUGAAAUGCGUAGAGAUUGGGAGGAACACCAGUGGCGAAGGCGACUUACUGGACGGUAACUGACGCUGAGGCGCGAAAGUGUGGGGAGCAAACAGGAUUAGAUACCCUGGUAGUCCACACUGUAAACGAUGAAUGCUAGGUGUAGGGGGUAUCGACCCCUUCUGUGCCGCAGUCAACACAAUAAGCAUUCCGCCUGGGGAGUACGGCCGCAAGGUUGAAACUCAAAGGAAUUGACGGGG